rnacentral:rRNA from 1 species
UACAGAGGGGGCAAGCGUUGUUCGGAAUUACUGGGCGUAAAGGGCGCGUAGGCGGCCCGCUAAGUCGGACGUGAAAUCCCUGGGCUCAACCCAGGAACUGCGUCCGAUACUGGCAGGCUUGAAUCCGGGAGAGGGAUGCGGAAUUCCAGGUGUAGCGGUGAAAUGCGUAGAUAUCUGGAGGAACAUCGGUGGCGAAGGCGGCAUCCUGGACCGGUAUUGACGCUGAGGUGCGAAAGCGUGGGGAGCAAACAGG